rnacentral:rRNA from 1 species
GCUUGGCCCUAAACCUCAGUAGUUAGAUAACAAAACUACUCGCCAGAAUACUACAAGCAACAGCUUAAAACUCAAAGGACUUGACGGUGCUUUACAUCCCCCUAGAGGAGCCUGUUCCGUAAUCGAUAAACCCCGAUCCACCCUACCCUCUCUUGCUCAGCCUAUAUACCGCCAUCUUCAGCAAACCCUAAUGAGGGCCACAAAGUGAGCGCAAACGCCAUCGCCGCGAAUACGUUAGGUCAAGGUGUAGCCCAUGAGACGGUAAAAAAUGGGCUACAUUUUCUAUUUCAGAAAACCCACGAAAACCCUUAUGAAACUUAAGGGUCCAAGGAGGAUUUAGCAGUAAAUUAAGAAUAGAGUGCUUAAUUGAACCAGGCCAUAAAGCGCGC